rnacentral:tRNA from 1 species
GCCGGGAUAGCUCAGCUGGUAGAGCGACGCAUUCGUAAUGCGUAGGUCGUCGGUUCGAAUCCGAUUCCCGGCUCCA